GCACAAGCCGCGCCGGGGGGUAGAAGAUGAGGAGGCUGCGAGGGACCCCGAGUCAGACCUUCGGGGCCACAAGAAAGUGUCCGAGCGCCUCGCAGACUGCAGCAAGGGAAACGUCCCUUAAAAGUGCGACGAGGUGGGGACGAGGUGCAAUUAUUAUUAUCAGCAUCUAGAAAGCAUCAUGCAGGCAGUGACCUCCAUACUGCAUUGUUCUUACUGGAUCUUCCUAUCAAUGAACAUUAUGGAACUACCAAAACAGCAUCAAGUCCUUCUUGGAUGGAAAGUUUUCAAACUUCUUCAUUUGGAGUUACUUAAACAUUAGGAUGUUGGGAUUCUUGAUGAUGCCUUUCCUAUGUGGAUUACUACAAUUUGGUUACUGGGAAUUCUCUACCUCAAAGAAGUACUCUCAGGUGACUACGGAAGCAUUAGCAUCCUGCAUGCUCAGGAUCUGCAUUUGCUGCUCCAGCAGUGUCUAACUGGAUGUCCUCUGCAGAUUGAACAAAUGUGCCGUCUUUUCCAUCAUCUGGUCAACCCCCAGGUCACCACUGAACAUCCUACUCAACCACUUCGAUCCAUGGAUAUCAUUCUCUGUUGUCCAUUCCAUCAAAUGUCCUCAAACCUGGCAGAAAAGGGAAAAGGCUAAUGCUCCAGGGCUGCAUCGCUGUGGGCACGCCAAGCUUCCCUGGUUACCUGAGCUGCUCUGCGGCAUCUCCCGCGCCGGCUUCGCCAGGGUGCACCGGAACCCCGAGUCGCGGUCUGCGCUGUGCCGAAGAAGGACCUGCUCCCCAGCUCUGGCCGGGGCCCCUCGCAGCUGCAAGAGGGUGACGCUGCCGAAGACCCGGGGUGGGAUGGAUAGAGAGGACGCCACGGACCGGGGGCCGGGCGGUUAGGAGUCCAUACUGUGCCCGCCGGUCCUGCGCGGGGCGAGGGCAGCAACAGCCCCUGCCGCGGGCACCCAGCUUGGGCUGCUCCCAGCGAUUAGUCUGGGGGGAGAACCAAGCCGAGAUGUGGUGGCAUUUUCCUUGAGUGGAGCUGAAGAUGGAUAAACCAGGUAUCUGCUGUAGCUGCCUGGCGAGGCAGAGCUGGAGAAAGGCAGAGUGAGGGGAGCGCAUGAAAAGCAAGAGGAGGUGCCGGAUCCCGCUUGAUUGUCUGCCGCUUGGUCUGCAUUCCCAUUCUAGGGAGGAUGGCAUAAUUUAUAACCCAGUACAUGGAUGGAGGAACUGUAAAUUGUAGUCUGGAUGUCCCCGGUGCUGUCAAGGAAGAAACUGAUGGGCUAGGUGACUGUACUGUGUCCCCAGAGAAAAGAGCAGCCUUGCAGCAUGGAUUUGAAUGCAUGUGCAUGCAUGUAGGGACACGAAAAAGAAAGAUUUCUGACCAUUUUACACAGGAAGUCUGUCACUUUGCUGGAUCGGGCUUGAUUGCAGCUUGUAUUUUCAGCUUCAGCUCAACACCCAUUUCCUGACUAGCUAGAGAGCAUGGCCAAAGCAGCUGCAUGCAGAAUUUUCUCGUUAAUGUGAAAGCAAGACCCCUCAGCUUUAACUCCUUGAAGUUCUGAGUGCUCUGUGCUUUGCUAGGACUGAUUGUGGGGUUUUGUUUUCUUUUUCUUCUACAAAUCCCUGUAAACACAGCUGUAUUCAGUAUGGUGAAAAAUUCUAUCCUGUAAAUAGAAAUCUGAUCAAUUUAAUCAAAAUAAAUGUAUCCCAGAUGACUUUGAGACCA
ensembl:lncRNA